rnacentral:rRNA from 1 species
GAUGAACGCUAGCGGCAGGCUUAAUACAUGCAAGUCGAGGGGCAGCGCGGGUAGCAAUAUCUGGCGGCGACCGGCAAACGGGUGCGGAACACGUACAGAACCUUCCUUCGAGCGGGGAAUAGCCCGGAGAAAUCCGGAUUAAUACCCCAUAGUAAAUUGAAAAGGCAUCUUUUUAAUUUUAAAGAUUUAUCACUUGAAGAUGGCUGUGCGCCUGAUUAGGUAGUUGGCGGGGUAACGGCCCACCAAGCCUUCGAUCAGUAACUGGUGUGAGAGCACGACCAGUCACACGGGCACUGAGACACGGGCCCGACUCCGUACGGGAGGCAGCAGUAAGGAAUAUUGGUCAAUGGACGCAAGUCUGAACCAGCCAU